rnacentral:rRNA from 1 species
GAUGAACGCUGGCGGCGUGCCUAAUACAUGCAAGUCGAGCGAACAGACGAGGAGCUUGCUCCUCUGACGUUAGCGGUGGACGGGUGAGUAACACGUGGAUAACCUACCUAUAAGACUGGGAUAACUUCGGGAAAACCGGAGCUAAUACCGGAUAACAUGUUGAACCGCAUGGUUCAACAGUGAAAGACGGUCUUGCUGUCACUUAUAGAUGGAUCCGCGCCGCAUUAGCUAGUUGGUAAGGUAACGGCUUACCAAGGCAACGAUGCGUAGCCGACCUGAGAGGGUGAUCGGCCACACUGGAACUGAGACACGGUCCAGACUCCUACGGGAGGCAGCAGUAGGGAAUCUUCCGCAAUGGGCGAAAGCCUGACGGAGCAACGCCGCGUGAGUGAAGAAGGUCUUCGGAUCGUAAAACUCUGUUAUUAGGGAAGAACAAAUGUGUAAGUAACUAUGCACGUCCUGACGGUACCUAAUCAGAAAGCCACGGCUAACUACGUGCCAGCAGCCGCCGUAA